GAUAAACGCUGGCGGCGUGCCUAACACAUGCAAGUCGAACGCCCUUUUGCGCAAGUGAGAGGGAGUGGCGGACGGGUGAGUAGCACGUGGGUACCUACCUUGAGGUGAGGAAUACCACCGAGAAAUCGGUGACAAGACCGCAUGUCUUCGGCACCGAAGAAAGUCUCGCAAGAGACGCCACAAGAUGAGCCUGCGCCUGAUUAGCUGGUUGGUGAGGUAACAGCUCACCAAGGCAACGAUCAGUAGCUGGUCUGAGAGGAUGAUCAGCCACACUGGGAUUGAGAACGGCCCAGACUCCUACGGGGGCGA
rnacentral:rRNA from 1 species